GUUCUGGAGUGAUGAACUGGUUUCUAACAUUUACUACCAUUUCAUUCACUUUGUCAGCUGUUAACCAUAUUUUCGGCCAAUUGUUAAGGUUGGGAGAUGU